GAAGUCGCACGAGAAGUCGCGGGGUGCCAUGGCGAGGAGUCGAGGUGGCCGAGACGAAUAAGGUAAGAAGCACUUUUGACUUUAGCCAUUUCUCAGAGAUUAAAUUUACUUUGCAAGUUAAGAAAGCUGAUUUUGAGAGGAGGAUGUCUAACUUUUUUAUAGUCGCAGGUAUACAACUUCGUAUUAAAUGAUAAAUUAUGGUGGAUGGAGUUAUGAAGGGUUUUAAGGCGAUGUAUCUGUCAAUGAGAAAGAAGAUUGAACGACGUGAGAAAAAUCUCUACCAACAUAUUCAUCGCGCCGACUUCUUCAACUCAAUCCCUAGAAUCAGAAAUGCUGUGUAGAGAUGUGACACGCUCACUAUUGGGAUGGGUUUUAGCCUAAAGCCCACGUAAAAGAUGUAACCCAUACCUAUUCAAUUUUUAAAUGAAACGCAACGUAUAGGCAAAAGUGGACAGGUGUCACGUUCAGGUUAAACGACUUAGUGACGUGGAUGCUGAGGUGGCGCAUCCUAAAGUGAAGAAACA
rnacentral:lncRNA from 1 species